AAUCGACGCUGGCGGCGUGCCUAACACAUGCAAGUCGUGCGCGAAAGGGGCUUCGGCCCUGAGUAGAGCGGCAAACGGGUGAGUAACACGUGGGUGACCUGCCUUCGAGUGGGGGAUAACGUCCCGAAAGGGACGCUAAUACCGCAUGACAUCCUGCCUUUGGACAGGCGGAGAUCAAAGCCGGGGAUCGCAAGACCUGGCGCUUGAAGAGGGGCCCGCGCCUGAUUAGCUAGUUGGUGAGGUAACGGCUCACCAAGGCAACGAUCAGUAGCCGGCCUGAGAGGGCGGACGGCCACACUGGGACUGAGACACGGCCCAGACUCCUACGGGAGGCAGCAGUGGGGAAUUGUUCGCAAUGGGCGCAAGCCUGACGACGCAACGCCGCGUGGAGGACGAAGAUCUUCGGGUCGUAAACUCCUGUCGAGCGGGAAGAACACCUGCCGGGCGAAUAUCCCGGAAGGUUGACGGUACUGCUAAAGGAAGCCCCGGCUAACUCCGUGCCAGCAGCCGCGGUAAUACGGGGGGGGCAAGCGUUGUUCGGAAUUACUGGGCGUAAAGGGCUCGUAGGCGGCCAACUAAGUCAGACGUGAAAUCCCCAGGCUCAACCUGUAAACUGCGUCUGAUACUGGAUGGCUUGAAUUCGGGAGAGGGAUGCAGAAUUCCA
rnacentral:rRNA from 1 species